rnacentral:rRNA from 1 species
UACGUAGGGUGCAAGCGUUAUCCGGAAUUAUUGGGCGUAAAGAGCUCGUAGGCGGUUUGUCGCGUCUGCUGUGAAAAACUGGAGGCUCAACCUCCAGCCUGCAGUGGGUACGGGCAGACUAGAGUGCGGUAGGGGAGAUUGGAAUUCCUGGUGUAGCGGUGGAAUGCGCAGAUAUCAGGAGGAACACCGAUGGCGAAGGCAGAUCUCUGGGCCGUAACUGACGCUGAGGAGCGAAAGCAUGGGGAGCGAACAGG